AAAACUUUCAACAACGGAUCUUUUGGUUCUGGCAUCGAUGAAGAACGCAGCGAAAUGCGAUAAGUAAUGUGAAUUGCAGAAUUCAGUGAAUCAUCGAAUCUUUGAACGCACAUUGCGCCCUCUGGUAUUCCGGGGGGCAUGCCUGUUCGAGCGUCAUUA
rnacentral:rRNA from 1 species